UACGAAGGGAGCUAGCGUUGUUCGGAAUUACUGGGCGUAAAGCGCACGUAGGCGGAUUAGUAAGUCAGGGGUGAAAUCCCGGGGCUCAACCUCGGAACUGCCUUUGAUACUGCAAAUCUCGAGUCCGGAAGAGGUGAGUGGAAUUCCUAGUGUAGAGGUGAAAUUCGUAGAUAUUAGGAAGAACACCAGUGGCGAAGGCGGCUCACUGGUCCGGUACUGACGCUGAGGUGCGAAAGCGUGGGGACCACACAGG
rnacentral:rRNA from 1 species